CGUGGACGUCGCGUACCAGCCGCGACAACGUUGCCGGGCGAAUCCGUUUUCGCGCCCGGCUGUCCGCGGCAGAUUUUUGGUGCGGAUACGUUAUGGGUCACUCCGGGUGGCGGGACAGUUACGUCGACGUGGACAAUCGAUGUUAGCUAUCAGUUGCAGUUUGCGCGGGGCGGUUAUGCCCGGGACAAUUGUUAUUGACAAAUCGUAAUGUCGGUCAUCAGUCAUGACUAUGACAGGGCACCUGCAGCGUCGUGCACUGAACGGCGUGUUUAUGCUCACGAUCAACAUAUGUAGAAAAACGGAGCAAACGCAUCAUGGAAUUUAGCCGCGCAGGAAAUUGUUUGUGCGAGACACAGACAUGCUUGGCAAUGUCGUAAAAUGGGCGUAAAGGCACCUCGGUGUCUAGAUGAUACGGAAACACGGAGAUCCGGCGGAGAAAAAGUGAGUUUUCCACUCCAGGCGUCUGACGAGACUGGAUUAAUUACGGACAACGCGCGCAUGGCGACGUCGACGCGUUAUCGGCAUUAUUAUUCAUGAUCACCGGCGAGAUCCUGGAAGGAUGGACGCGACGGACUGUAACAUCCAGAACGCCAUAGGUGAUCCUGGUCUCUGAAUGCUGCGACGACCUCCUGACACUUACGAUUAGCGAAUGUCUGCGGCGUGUUUCCCGAGUCAGACACGUUACACGCUUUAUUAUCAUCUCGAACUGACAGUCAGCGGUCUCUGAUAAAUGACGAUGAAGUCGACCAUACAAUUUAUGUAUGUGAUUAUCCACGUAUAUCGCGGAGACUAAUUAUAUCGAAUUUGUCGUAAUCGAGGACGGCGCUUUAAUUAAUCGGAUUUUUUUUUAUCAGCUAAGUCGAUUAAUUUUGUCGUUUGUCGGAGUGAACCGUUUCAAAAAAUUCCUACUUUUCUCCGCGCGAAAAUUAUUUUCCGCAAAAAUGGAAAGUAAUUUUCGAUUUAAUAUAUCUUGACUAAGCGGUAAAAUAUUGAAAAGGAUAUCUCUUUUUCCAAUUUAUUACUUUUACGCACGUGAGAUUUGUGGAGAUUUAUGCACAAUGGAAAAUUGCGCUUUGAGCUUGAUGUGAUAAUUCUGAUACAUUAAAAGUCACAUACAUAAUUUUAAUAUAUUAAAGUCAAUAUUUAUCGCGCGUUGUAAUCCAUGCAUAUUUAACGUAUGUAUUGCGGAUUACGGUGAGAGUUCUGACACGGGAGGUGCUCGAGUAAAAUUAUUGCCGCCAGACUUAGAAAGGGAACGGUGGGAAUAUAUAUUCUAGUAAGUGCUGUAAGUAAAUCGGGCAAUUCACUGGUGAAACGAUCGCUCUAACACUUAAAAGACCAUUAAGAACUUAAUGAUCACUAGCUGUCAUCCAUGAAAAUUUAUAAUGUAAUAUAACGAACGUUACUGUGAAUACUAAUGCAUUUUCCGAGUCAAAAAUUUAUAUGAUGAUAUAAAAUUAAAUAACGGAUAAUUUAUUUCCAUUUCAUUCAGUUCGAAAAAAAA